rnacentral:lncRNA from 1 species
CAGCAAUCAACUCAAUUAUGUCCAUCCUAAAAGUUUAUUGGCAACCCCCGAUUUUGUUUCCAGGACUUAAUUGGGAGCUUUUCUAGCAUGCCAGGACCCUUGCAGUUGCAAUAGGCUUUGGAAAAGGAAGUAGUAGUUGUAUGAAUAAUCUUUCCAUGAUCCCUUCCCAAUGUCCUCUGAAGCUCAACAAACCUUUUCAUACAACUAAUACUAUAUUUUUUGUAGUAACUUAAAAUAGAAAAAGCCAGAUUGUGUAUAAAAACUUCCACUUUCAAACUAGCAUUUCCAAACUACAAAGACAGAAAAUCAUGGAAGGAUUGGGUGAGUAGCAGAAAACUGCGACAUGUUUCUAUCCAACAAUGACAAGACAACUUACCCUUACCAUAGCAUAACCAGUGUAGCAGAUUACUGUGACAUGAUUCUAUCCCUUAAGUCAGUGAAUUUUUCCCUUUUCUUUUCUUGCUUGUGUUUUUCUGAGUCAGACUAUAUGCUGGAUUAGCUUUUUCAGCCUAUGCAUUGCUUCCUGAAACCAAGUACGGCCA